UCUCCUUUGUCUUUGGAUGUGGGGUAUUUUUUUGGUGAGUUCCAGUGUCCUCCUGUCGAUGACUGUCCAGCAGCUAGUUGUGAUUCUGGUGUUCUCGCAAGAGGGAGUGAGAGCACGUCCUUCUACUGCACCAUCUUGUUUCCUCUACCGAGCUCUCACCAUUUAAUUUGUUCAGUUCCUUUCUUUAUGGGGACCAAUUUUAGUGUCUUGCUGUUUUUAAUACCUUGUUACCAAUAAUCCCCAUUUUCUGAAAGUCUGGAAAACUGGAGCUUUUUGAUCUUUCAUUCAUUGAAAAUGUGGAUAAGAAAUUUUCCAAAACUAUUUUGGAAAAAUAUAGCCCAAAUUUAGAAGGCUCAUUUAUAUAGAGUUCAAUACCAUUAUAGGGCACUUAGAUUCAUUUAUAAAUUAUUUCUUCAAAGGCUCAAAUAUCUCUAAUCCUACUUAUGGCAGCCAGCAAGGAGAAAAACACAUACUGCUUUGUAUUCAAAAUCAGGUUGUUUCACAAAAAAUGUGUAGUUCAGUUAUUCUAACUAUGUAUAUGUUGUAAUAUUUAUAAAUUUUUAUAGCUACUGCUACUAUUUGACAACUUGAGUGCAAAGAUAAAUUAUGUUGCAGCACACCCAAUGCCAUGCACAUUUCUACUCCAUAAAUUUCUUUAGAAAGAACAUGGUUUUACCAUGGCACUAUGCUCCAUCAAAAUUUGUAUUUAUAUUGUUAUGCAAGGAUAACUUUAGUUUGAACAUUUUAAACACUGAAUUUACAGUAACACUGAUUCAUUUAACAGAGUUUAUAAUGGCAUCUCGCUCUAGGAAUGUCAAAUGUUUUACUUUCCACAGGAUGAAAUUCCAAAUACUUUACUUUGGUACCAUGACAUGUAAAAAAUUGAAUCAUUAUUGAAAAAUAAUCGUUUUCCAAUACACAGGGCCUGAUUACACUGAUGUGAAAGUGGCAUCACUUAAUUGUGUUUCUGCGUUGGAGCCAGUGCGUUAACAGCUACAAUUUUGGAUAGAGUCAUCUCCGGUGGAACUGAAGAUAAGAAAGAAGAUCAAAGGAAGAAGAGGACUUCAGGAAAAGCCAGUAAAGAGUGCUGAGGCAUAUGCAGCGUGAAUCCUCUGCAUUAGGUGUCCUGCUGGGAUGAGCCGAGAGCGCUGUGAUACAGAGUGGCCGUGGAGUUGGCCAGGGAGGACUUCGCAUCUGCAUGGGUGGUGACGUUGGGAAAACUCAAUUUGCCUGUGGAUCCGGCCCUUCUCAGUUUCUUCGUAGUUACAAGUUAAACAGGUCAUUUCUAUGCCCUGUGUCUCCUGAAUUUUGGA